rnacentral:lncRNA from 1 species
GGACACAGUGCAAUAGAGAACCAAAGUAAUAUCAUGAUCAUUUUUAGGAUUUCCACAAAUCCAACACAUCUCAACAGCAAACUUCGACAUACAUAAUAGAAAAGUAAAAAAAUAAUUGACGCACAAUCCACUUGAAAUCAGAAAAACAGUGACAAUGAGUUUAACUCAGAAUCAAAAUUUUCUUGAACAAAUUCAUAUUAACAAUAUUCUCAGUUUGAAGUGUUACCAAAUGCGGAGUCG